GAUAUUAUAAUACUAAAAUAUCCGCCAGAAAACUACGAGCGAAAAGCUUAAAACUCAAAGGACUUGGCGGUGCUCCACACCGACUUAGAGGAGCCUGUCCUAUAAUCGAUACCCCACGCUAAACCUUACCAAUCUUUGCCCAGCCUAUAUACCGCCGUCGUCAACCUACCUCGUGAGAGAAAAACAGUCAGUGUAAAAGUUCAGUAACUAAAACGUCAGGUCAAGGUGUAGCUUAUAGAAUGGAAGAGAUGGGCUACAUUUUUUAAAAUAAAACACACGGCAUGGUAUUAUGAAACUUUUACCUAAAGGAGGAUUUAAUAGUAAAACUAACGAGAAAAUUAGUUUUAAAC
rnacentral:rRNA from 1 species